rnacentral:tRNA from 1 species
UCCCUUGUGGCUCAGCUGGUAAAGAAUCCGCCUGCAAUGCGGGAGACCUGGGUUCGAUCCCUGGAUUGGGAA